rnacentral:lncRNA from 1 species
AGACAGCUGUGGUACAGAGAAAGAAGGGAGAGAGUUCUGUACAGGAGGCUUUUGUUUUGUAGCCCCUGAUCUCCAUAUGGGAUUCUCUUGGAAUCUUGGAGCUGUUUGGCCUGUUGAGUCAGAGAGAAGAAAUACUCUGGAAUUUACUUGUCUGAUGUGUUGAAAGAAAAAUGAAGUUUGAGAACAAGUGAAUGCAAGAAAAUUUCAAGAAGAGUAUGAAGACAAAGAAAGAAGCUAGAAAACUGUUUCAAUAUCAGCAGUCAGGCCACGCCAGGAAGGGAUGAUCAGAAGGAGACAAGAUUUCAUCCAAGUGAUAUACUGGUAAAGUAUCAUGGAUGCUUUUUGUUCACAGAGAGAUCCAGCAAGUCAGAAGACAUCAUCAACAGCAUUAACCAACUGUGCAUCUCAAAACUGAGCUAUCAUACAGGGAGCUGACUUCAUAGAUGACUGCACAAGUUAAAGGUGCUUCUUUGCCUCCUGUUGAUACAUUAGUGGGAUCUGCUCAUCAAAUGUAGGAUUCCCAGGUUGCCAAUUUGAAAGAUGCUCUUACUCUUCUUUGGAAAUGAUCAGUUUUGGAAAAAUGUGUUGUUUUAUUUAAUCACACAUAUUUUUCAUGUAAAAAUAGUUUAGACUCCUUCAAAUAGUGUUUUUAAUUUCUUUCUGUAACCAUUUCCAUAUAGACACAGGCCUGGACAAUCAAGUAGAAAGAAUUUCUGUAAUAUACACAUCAUAGUCACAGCACCAACCACCCUUCAACUAUAAUAUUUCCUUAAAGACAUCAUUUAAACCUAACCCAAUCACUAAUAUAUUUAGGCUAGAGUUCUUAGCAACUAAAUGAAGCAUUACAUAAGAUAGGAACCUAACACUAUAUGAUUAGAAAUUGUAUCAUGUUGUCCUUGCAAGGCCAGAUUUUGUGCUGAAUAGAAAAGUGAGCCCAAUUUUAGAAACCAUCUAUCAAGAUUGAAAUAGCCUAAUCCUUCAUGCUUCAUUUUACCACCUGUUCUGUUACCAAUGAUGACAUGGAUCACAAAGACAGUAGCCUGAUGGAUAUCCAUUUACUUUCAAGAAGUUUUAGAAAUUCUUGGAUAAUUUUUCAAAAGGGCCAGGCCUGGUGGUAUACAUUUAAAAUCCCACUUAGGAAGAAGAAGCAGGAAAAUCAAAAGUUUAGUUUGUAAAAUUUAAUGAGACCCUAUGUACACAUAAAAAUUUAAAGGUGAGCUUACGAUGUGGAUUUUUAGUUGAGUGCUUGUCUAACAAGUACAGUAUCCUAGAUCCAAAACACAGUACACCCAUCUUCCAUUUUAAAUGCUCUCUCCCUCUAUGUAUAUGUAUAUGAAUAUAUGUGAAUAUCUACAUGUAUGUACAUGAAUAUAUGUGAAUAUCUGCAUAUCUGUCUAUGUGUAAGCAUUUAUAAAGACUAUACUGAUAUAACCAACUCUGUACAUAAACUAUGAUUACCUAAACGAACAGCUGGAUUUUCUGACAAGAGUGAUAUUCAUAAGAACGUGUCUAUGAGAAUUGUUUAUUGAUAGUUGUACUCUUCAAUAGUAAAAAUAUAAGACUACUUUGUGACCAUAUAUUUGUAAAGAAGAGUGUUAAAGAUCAGAAAACAAGCCUGCUGUCUCUUGCAUGCCAGCUUCACUACAGUGGGAAAAUAAAUUUGGAGGCAAUCUUGAUGUGAGGAGUUGAAUUUGCUUAUAUUUAAAGUCAGAGAAAACUUCUUACUUGACUAGUCUGCUGGACUUGAGACAGAAUGCUAAGUCCUGAUAGUUUUGAGGGAAAAUUACUCUCUGUGGUUCAUGAGCCUUUGGAAGGCACAGGCUGUACUACUUGCCAGCACUUGAAGGGGUGCCAGACGUUUAAUAGGCACCCAACCACAGCUUGAGUGGAAAAAAAAAUGUUAUCUGUGUAAUUGGUACUAUCACUUCCAAAGACAAUGCAGAACAUUUCUUUCUUCUUCUUUUAUUCCCUACCUCCUUCUAUUCUUCCUUCCUUCCUCCUAUUCUUCCUUCCUUCCUUCCUUCCUUCCUUCCUUCCUUCCUUCCUUCCUUCCUUCCUUCCUUCCUUCCCUCCUUCCUUCCUCUCUCUCUCCCACCCUUCCCUCUUUCCUUCCUUCCUACAUCCCACCUCUCCUUUCUUUCUUCCUAUCUUUUCUUUAGCAUCUCUUUCCUUUUGUUUUUAGAUGUUUCUUCAGAUCUUAUUUUUGAAACAGUGCCUUUCUGCACAGACAAGGCUACUAUUAAACUUGUGAUCCUCCUGCCUC